rnacentral:rRNA from 1 species
GACGAACGCUGGCGGCGUGCUUAACACAUGCAAGUCGAGCGGUAAGGCCCUUUCGGGGGUACACGAGCGGCGAACGGGUGAGUAACACGUGGGUGACCUGCCCUCAGCUCUGGGAUAAGCCUGGGAAACUGGGUCUAAUACUGGAUAUGACUCCACGGUGCAUGUCGUGGGGUGGAAAGUCUUGUGCGGCUGAGGAUGGGCCCGCGGCCUAUCAGCUUGUUGGUGGGGUGANGGCCUACCAAGGCGACGACGGGUAGCCGGCCUGAGAGGGCGACCGGCCACACUGGGACUGAGACACGGCCCAGGACUCCUACGGGAGGCAGCAGUGGGGAAUCUUGCGCAAUGGGCGAAAGCCUGACGCAGCGACGCCGCGUG